rnacentral:piRNA from 1 species
UCAAUGGAUUCACAUGGCUGUCUGCAUC